GAUUUUGACAACACCACCAUUUUUAAGUCAUCCUCAGGUCUACAAAAAAAUAGCCGACAACCUGAAAGCCUUUGCUUAGUAGGAAUGUUGUAUGAUGAUCUCAAGAUCCCAAUAAAACUUCCAUAGCCAUAGAUGCAUCAUGCUUGCUUAUAACGCUAAAAAAUUACUUUGUACUGGUCAAAGAGAAACGAGGGGGAAGAAGGCAUAACCUAGUUGAUUCUUAAAAUUCUACAUUUCUUGUGUUAUACAACAUAAGCCUGAGGCAACAUUCUCUAAGUUACAUGUUUAAAGCUAAAAUACUAAACAAAACCCUCAACCACCUAAUUUACACUAAAUGAACCAACCGAACGGCCUUGAUGCCAUGGUUUUCAACCCUGAAACACUAACAG
rnacentral:lncRNA from 1 species